GUUUGAAAGCAACACCUCCUAGGAAACUGUCUGAGAAGCCAUGAAGCAGAAGAAGCCAUGAUGUAAGCAGCCACAAUAAAGCUGGAGUUUGUAAAUGAACCUUGUGACAGAGUGAGAUCUUAAAAUGCAAAUGAACCAGACACAAAGCAUAAAACAUGGUGGCAGAGGUAAUUAAAUCUGAAACGGCAGGAAAGAACAUUCAGAGCUUCACUGCAGAGGGCAGAAUACUUCUGUGAGUACAUGGUUUGUCUUACGAGAAAAGGCUAAUAACAGAAAAUGGAGAGUCUGAACGCUUCAGGGACAUUAAAUCUGCAAGCUAAGAAUUUAGCUCAGGCAUGGAAGAGCUGAAAAGAGGAAUUUUAACCUCUAUGUAGUUAUUGCUCUGGCAGAUAGAGGAUGCUGUGAAAAUGAAACUGUUUUAUUACCAUAUUGGAGAAAGAGGGAGAAAGGAGAUAGUCCAAUAUGAGGUUCAAGGGUGCAUGGUGUAAGGAUAUACCUUUCUGACAGGACCACAUGGAGAAGCACUUCCAUUUAGCCAGGUACACUUGGGAAGUCCCCCAGAGCUGGAAGAUGGAUAUGGCAAUGCCUGGGAGUAAAGACCACUGGUGGUGCUCAGAGAAGGUCCUGGUCAGUUGAUCCACCAACUUGUUCUGCUUCCUCGGAAGAAUUGACUUGCUCCAAUUUACGAGAAGCUCCAGGACGUCGAAUGUGGACAGGAUGGUGGAUACAGUGGAUAACACCUGAGCCUCAGACCAAUCUCUCAUCAACCAGUAGUCCCAGGACAGGAACACAUGAACUUCUGAUUUUUGUAGAUGUGCUGCCACCGCUGCCAGGCACUUUGUGAACACCCGCGGAGCAGCUGAGAGACCGAAUGGGAGCACUGUGAGCUGACAGUGGGAUUCAUUUGCCACAAAUCUGAGAAACUUCCGAAGGUUGUGUCGUAUUGAGACCUGGAAAUAAGCAUCCUUUAAAUUGAGGGCAAUGUACCAGUCCCCCUAUUCCAGGGAGGGAAUAAUCAAGGCUAGGGUAAUCAUGCGGAAUUUUAUUUUCUUCAGGAAUUUGUUCAACUCUCUUAGAUCUAAAAUAGGCCUGAGACCUCCUUUUGCUUUGGGGAUAAGGAGUUAGUGAGAGUAGAAGCCUUUCCCCCAAGGCCCAGUGGGACUUCUUCUAUGGAUCCUGCCUGAAGAUGCAAUUGAACCUUUUGCUGAAGGACGAUCUCAUGAGAGUGGUGGAGAAGGGGGGUGGGAACGAGGGGUAGAAAUGAACUGAAUGAAGGGCAUGUGACGUUGCACUCCGUGUUUUAUGAAAAUAUGCUUAUGAAUGUGAAUAUAAUGUAACUGGAAUAUGCUUUAAGCAGAAGGUCUUUUGUAAGGUAUCAUUACAAAGCUUAUAAUUUACU